rnacentral:rRNA from 1 species
AUGAAGAUCGCGGUGGAGGGAUGCAUGCACGGUGAGCUGGACAAGGUCUACGACACGAUGCAGCGGCUCGAGGCGGCCGAGGGCAUCAAGAUCGACCUCCUCAUCUGCUGCGGCGACUUCCAGGCUGUAAGGAAUGAGAGUGAUUUACAGUGUGUAAACGUCCCACCAAAGUUUCGUACCAUGAACUCGUUUUGGAAGUACUACUCUGGGCAAGCAGUUGCCCCAUACCCAACUAUCUUCAUCGGCGGGAAUCAUGAAGCAGCCAAUUAUUUGUGGGAACUGUACUAUGGAGGAUGGGCAGCACCUAACAUCUACUUCUUGGGGUUUGCUGGUGUUGUUAAGUUUGGAAAUAUUCGAAUUGGUGGAAUGUCAGGAAUACAUAAGCAACAUGAUUAUCACCGAGGACAUCAUGAGAGGCCUCCAUACGAUAAUGCUACUAUACGAUCAGUGUACCAUGUAAGGCAUUACGAUGUUCUCAAGCUAAUGCAUGUGAAGGAGCCUCUAGAUAUAUUCAUGUCACAUGACUGGCCUCUGGGCAUUACUGAAUAUGGAAACUGGGAGAGGCUCCUUCGAGAAAAACCGUUCUUCACAGAAGAGGUCCACCAGAGAAAACUAGGCAGCGAAUCUGCAGCAAAAUUGUUGAACAAAUUAAAACCACCGUACUGGUUUUCAGCUCAUCUUCAUUGUAGGUUUCCAGCUAUCAUUCAACAUGGUGAGGAUGGACCUACGACUAAGUUCCUUGCACUCGAUAAGUGCCUCCCCGGGCGGAAUUUUUUGCAGGUAAUAGACAUUCCAUCCAAUCCAGGACCAUAUGAAAUCCAGUAUGAUGAAGAAUGGCUUGCAAUAACACGGAGAUUCAAUAGUGCUUUCCCCUUAACUCGGAUGCCAUGUACAAUUCGGAACGAAGAACUUGACAUUCAAGAUGACCGGCAGUGGGUUAGGAGCAAGUUGAAUGCUAGAGGGGCUAAGACAUUUGAUUUUGUCCAGACUGCUCCACCUUAUGAUCCGUCCAGGCCAGUUUAUAAUCCCCCCAUAGCAGUUCCUUGCAGAAACCCACAAACUGAAUCAUUUCUCCAGUUUUUAGAGCUCCCAUAUCUGCUGGACUCGUCUAAUCCUGGCGGUGUUGAUAUAAAUGUAUCGAGCUCUCAGGCAGCACCUGCACUAGACAACGACGACAUAGAGCUCCCCGAUGAAGUUGAAGACGACGAAGUUGAUGAGGAGUGA